rnacentral:misc_RNA from 1 species
GUACCCUCAAGCUUUGCUUGGUGUUGGGGCCCUACAGCUGAUGUAGGCCCUCAAAGGUAGUGGCGGACCCUCCCGGAGCCUCCUUUGCGUAGUAACUUUACGUCUCGCACUGGGAUCCGGAGGGACUCUUGCCGUAAAACCCCCCAAUUUUCCAAA